GGGGGGGGGGGGGGGGGGGGGGGAGGCAGGCGGGGGGGGCGAAGGGGGCGGGGUGGGGGGGGGACGGGGGAGGAACAGGGGGGAAGGGGCCGGUGGGGGCGGAAUAACUCAGGGAAACGUGUGCUAAUACCGAAGGGGCCCUUCGGGGGAAAGAGGUAUCGCCAUCAGAGCGGCCCGCGUCUGAUUAGCUAGUUGGGGAGGGAACGGCUCACCAAGGCGACGAUCAGUAGCUGGUCUGAGAGGAUGACCAGCCACACUGGGACGGAGACACGGCCCAGACUCCUACGGGGGGCAGCAGUGGGGAAUCUUGCGCAAUGGGCGAAAGCCUGACGCAGCCAUGCCGCGUGAAUGAUGAAGGUCUUAGGAUUGUCAAAUUCUUUCACCGGGGACGAUAAUGACGGUACCCGGAGAAGAAGCCCCGGCUAACUUCGUG
rnacentral:rRNA from 1 species